rnacentral:rRNA from 1 species
UUCCGGUUGAUCCUGCCGGAGGCCAUUGCUAUCGGAGUCCGAUUUAGCCAUGCUAGUCGUGCGAGUUCAGACUCGCGGCACCGAGCUCAGUAACACGUGGCCAAACUACCCUGUAGAGACGUAUAACCUCGGGAAACUGAGGCUAAUCCGUCAUACCGGUUGAACGGUUGAAACCCAUCAACCUCUAAACGCCCCGGCGCUACAGGAUGUGGCUGCGGCCGAUUAGGUUGACGGUGGGGUAACGGCCCACCGUGCCAAUAAUCGGAACAGGUUGUGAGAGCAAGAACCUGGAGACGGCAUCUGAGACAAGAUGCCGGGCCCUACGGGGCGCAGCAGGCGCGAAACCUUUACACUGCACGCACGUGCGAUAAGGGGACUCCGAGUGCGAGGGCAUAUCGUCCUCGCUUUUGUGUACCGUAGGGUGGUACACGAACAAGGGCUGGGCAAGACCGGUGCCAGCCGCCGCGGUAAUACCGGCAGCCCGAGUGAUGGCCGAUCUUAUUGGGCCUAAAGCGUCCGUAGCUGGGUCUGAAAGUCCAUCGGGAAAUCCACUCGCUCAACGAGUGGUCGUCCGGUGGAAACUCCACACCUUGGGACCGGAAGGCUCGAAGGGUACGGCCGGGGUAGGAGUGAAAUCCUGUAAUCCCGUCCGGACCACCGAUGGCGAAAGCACUUCGAGAAAACGGAUCCGACAGUGAGGGACGAAAGCUAAAAUCGCGAACCGGAUUAGAUACCCGGGUAGUCUUAGCCGUAAACAAUGUUCGUUAGGUAUGACACAGACUACGCGUCUGUGUUGUGCCGUAGGGAAGCCGAGAAACGAACCGCCUGGGAAGUACGUCUGCAAGGAUGAAACUUAAAGGAAUUGGCGGGGGAGCACUACAACCGGAGGAGCCUGCGGUUUAAUUGGAUUCAACGCCGGG